rnacentral:lncRNA from 1 species
GUCAGGUGAGGUUACUGCUCCCACCUUCCACCUGAGGAAGAUGCUGAUUUUUCAAUCAGGUCUGUUCAAUCAUGUGAUUUUACACAGCGCUUUUCUUCAUCUGUUUGUCAAUGGAGAAAUGAUAAACUGAGAGCCGAAGCUGAAAUUGUGCACGUUAGUCAUUUCUAUUCAUUCAUUCAACAGUAAUUUGUUCUAGAGAUAUAAAAAUGACUCAGACAUAAUUCUGUUAUCCUCACAGAAGUUAUGGUUUACCAGCAGGAGAUGAACAGAAAAUUGCAGUAAAGCAUUGAAGGCACUGCGGAUGAUGCUGCCAGGGGAGAGGAAGUCCAUCUGUGUCUGCUGUGCUGCACUGCUUGAUAAUAUGGCUUAGAUAAUAGAAAUCCAUUACAUCGCUCAAAGGAAGUAAAAAAACUGCUCUCCAAGGAGUAGAGGGAAGCCAAGUAGGAAUUCAAUCUCUGAGCAAGAAUCAGCAUGUGUUUUUUUCCCCGAGAAAGAAGGAAGAAGAUAAAUAAAAGCUUGUGGUAUCCAGGAAUCAUAAGCAGAUGGAUGUCGAGGAGGAUACUAAGACUAGAGACCACAUUCUCAACCCUCUCCCUUCCUAAGCUGAGCUUCGGCUCCUUGGAUGUUGUCUGACUUGUGCCUGGGGAAUCUUGUGGUCAAGAGAGAAGGCUCCUUUGGAGGUUAAGCAAAGGAAGAUUGCUGCUUUCCCAGAGCGUUUCAGUAAAGGAUGGGCAAUGGAACUCCAGUAGAGAGAGUUCCAUGGAGUAGAACCCUGGAACCCUGAGGACUGACAGUUGCAGGUCCCUCCCUCUGGUUGUGCUAUGUGGGACGCCGCCUCAGCAUGGCCUGACAAGUGGUACCAUGUCUGCACCCAUGAUCCAAACCAGUGAAACCCUGGGCAGCCAAAGUGGAGUGCAUGAACUUAACCACUCAGCCACAGGGCCAGCCCCUUCCAGUGUAUUUUUCAUUUCAUAUAUUUUUUCCCAUAUCUAGAAAUGACCUUUGGGUCUAUUUUAUAGCUUUCAUUUCUCUUCUUAUUAUGCUUAUGUUUUCCUUUACCUUUUUGAAAACAUGGAUCAUAUUUAUAAUAGCUCUUUUAAUGUCCUUCUCUGCUAGUUCCACAAUUACCAUAAUUUCGGGACAUAUUUCUAUUGAUUGAUCCCCACCAUUUAUUGGCCAUAUUAUCCUAACUUGUAAUCAUUUUUUUUAAUUGAAUGCUGGUCAUUGUGAGUUUUAAAGUAUUGAUUGCUGUAUUUUAUUGUAUUCCUUUAGAGAUGGUGUUGGUUUUUUUCCUGGCUUAAGUUUAAGUUAAUAGAAUCAGUUAGAUCCUCUCAAGGUGUUUAAGUUUGGUUAAGAUAAGUCCAGGGAAGGCUUUAGUCCAGGGCCAAUUGAGCCUCAUUGCUAAAGCCGUAUCAUUUAGGAUUAUACCCAAUGUUUGGUCCUGUGUGGGCUCUAAGAAAUGUUCUGCCUACUCCUUUUCAGUGAUUCUUUCUCUGGCUUCAGAUAGUUUCUUCCUAUGCAUACACAGAUCAGACAAAGACUUGGGGAGACCUCUCUGCAGAUCUCCGGGUAUCUUUCUCUGUAGUUCCCGCCUCUCUCUUUCAUUGCCCACAAAUUCUAGCUGUUCUGAGUUCUCUGAACUCUGAUCUCUGUCUCCUCAACUCAGCAAGGUUUCUGGGCUCUGUAUGAGUUCCUUCUUUUUGUUCUGUGUCCUGUAAACUGACUCUAGGCAGUAAAUUGAUGCAGUUGUAGGGCUAACCUUGUUUGUUUCCCUUUUCUCAGGGAUCAUUGUCCUGUGCUGCCUGUUUCACAUGUCUGAAAACUGUUUCUCAUAUAUUCUGUCCAUUUCCUUGUUGUCCUAGAUGGGAACAUAUAUUGGCCCUGACCUUUCACCUUGGCCAGAGCAAAAGAUCUUUAUUCAUUCUUAAAGUUACUGUGGACAAUAAAGAUUCUGAUAUGUUUACUUUACUGACUCAGUUUUAGCCCCAAGUUUUCUUUCUUUUUUGGGGGGGGGGGGGAAGAUUAGCCCUGAGCUAACAUCUGCCACCAAUCCUCCUCUUUCUGCUGAAGAAGAGUGGCCCUGAACUAACAUCUGUGCUCAUCUUCCUCUAUUUUAUAUGUGGGAUGCCUGCCACAGCAUGGCUUGGUAAGUGGUGCAUAGGUCCACAGCCAGGAUCUGACCUGGUGAACCCUGUGCCACCGAAACGUUGUGCGCAAACUUAACUGCUAUGCCACUAGGCCAGCCCCCCCAACUUUUAUUUCAAGCCACACCUACCAACUACCCAGUCAGAAAUUGCUGCUGCUCUUUAUGUAAAUUUCCAGAAAUUCCUUGAUGCUUUGUUACAACUGAAGGAUACAGGAGUUGUCUCCAAGCAAAUUAAGUAUUACCCUGAACCAGAAACAAUCAAAGCUGCCUAUAAAGACUGUUGUGUGACAAUUACAAUGUUCCACUUGUUUUUUUCUGUUAGCCCAAAGAAGAGGCUGUGGAUACCAGUAGAUUUCCCUUUCAGAAAUCUACUAACUGCCAGCCUUAUCUAGGAGCCUCUCAAGAAACGUGCACAGUUACAGACUGGGUUGUACAUGCUGGCCAGCGGGUCUCAGGGCUUCUUUCCAGAGAACAGCCAAAAUGACUACCCCAGGGGGCCUGCCCCACAAGACUGCUAGAGGAGGAAACAAAUCAUUUUCAGAAUUUCUAUCAACAAUCUUUUCCUUGUAACAUUUUUGGUUCAGCCUCAGUAUUGUAUUCAUGUCAUUUUGUUUUGCUUUCUAUUUUUAUUUCUUAUUUCCGGAGCACUUUGCACUGUUGUGGUGACUCAAAUCAAAAAGGAAAAGAAAAAAGGUGUUUUUUUCCUCCUCUCUAUCAUUUUUAUAUCUUAAUCACUUGAUUAAAACUCACCAGCUGAAGAGGAAGUUGCAAUGAACUUUAUUUUUUCUCCAUUAGUUGUAAGCUUCCCUGCCUGAUAUCCAGAUAUAUUUAUUAUUUUGUACAGUGAGGUAUUUCAUUGCAAACCAGAAAUAAAUAUAAAUCCUGUUAGAUGAAAAUCUUUUCUGAAUCAUCACAACUCAGCUGUUUAAAGGGAAUUUCUUGAUUUUUCUACAAUGAUACAAUUCUGUUAAAAAUAAUUCUUGCCGUGUAUUAUGUUUUUGAAAUAUUUUAAUGGUUUUAAUUAACAACUUGGUUGAUUUUAUGUAAAUAAUAUUAAUUAAAAUUUUAUUUAUCUGUAAAAUAUUUUUUUUGGAAAUGAUACAGAAAGUUGAAAACUUUAAGUGUAAC